ACCACUUUAUGCAUAACCUCAACUCACACCACCCCCAUAUCAAACUCAAACACACUCUCCAUCUUCAGCAGGUCCCCUUCCUUGACACGAUAGUUUUUUUCACAGAGACGAAGGAUGGACACAAAACAUUAGCCACCAAGGUUUAUUUUAAAGACAAGGACAGGCUUUCCUUAUUAUUUAACACCAGCUACCAUCCCCGGCAUACUUUCAGCUCCAUCAUCAAGUCACAACUAAUCCGUUUCCACCGCAUCUGCUCUCUACCCCACCACGUAGAGGAGGCCAGCAGGACCCUUUUCAAGGCCGUUAGACCUUGCGGCUAUUCCAAACGUUUUCUUUGGACUAUUAAAGGGGAAGUGACCGCCCUCUUCCAGCCAGGCCGGCCCGUUCUCCAUGGAAAAAAGAACACGGAACAUAGGUUAAUUCCAUUCAUUACAACAUUCUAGCGACAACUAGGCCCCCUCAAGCAAGCUAUAAAACAACAUUUUAAUUCCGCCAAAACUCAAACCGCCCCACUCGCUUCUUUUAAAAAUGUAAUGUCAUACCGCCGUAAUAAAAAUCUGCAGGACAUGCUAGUCCAUACGGCACACAACAAAGCAAUACGCACAACCUUCGACCCCUUUUUUACCAACCUGAAAUACAUCUUCAACUGUCGAGCCGGUGUCCCCAUCUCGCAGACCUUCACACUACUCUCCUGCAAUGUCGUCUACGCCAUCCAGUGCAAAUUAUGCAGGAGCAUCUAUGUGGGCGAAACGGGAGCUACUAUCAAACCAAGGUUAUAACAACACAUUUACCAUAUUCAGAAAGGAACAAACGAUAAACGGCUGUAUACUCACUUCAUUUCAAAUCAUAUCAACAACUUUUCAUUGUCCGGUCUAGAGACCAAUGUCGGUUGGUCCCUGGUCCAGAGGAGAGCUGCUGUAAGAAGGGUUGGUAGACGCUGGGAAUACCAGGAACUCUCCGCCAUGGUUCCGGAUGAAGCGUCUUGCCGCUCACUGGUCGACCACCUCGAAAACAGAGGAUUCUUUGUUGUCGGUGAACCGUUGGAGGACGCGCAUGGUGCAGAGCCCAGCUCUCAGGAGACGGGGCACAGGCCUGAGCACAAGCGUCUGCUGGAGAUGGCAGAGGGUCGGACAGAGGAAGCUUGCCAUGGGCUCCUAACGGGCGAGCGGUUGCCGCAACAUGAGAUGACGCUGUACCGGUACUUUUGCAUGGCCACCCUGACGAUCACGCACCGUGUACCGGAAGAGACGGUGGUGGACUUCAAAGUCACUGAGUGGAAUGACAGGCAGGUGAGCGCCGGUGUCGGGGCGACGAUCUACUUCCGAGACGGUGCGGACAGAGCUGUUUUCAGCGUAGACGAGGAGAGGUGGUUAGGUGCCUACUUCACGGCCAUCAGGCCGCUCUACCUGACGCGGAAAGGGGAAGCAGCGGAUGACCAGGGCUGCUUCUUCCUGGGGUGGCCAAUCCCAGGUCCGACUUGUGCCGUCUCUGGAGGCACUGUCGGAAGAUCUGCGAGGGAGCGGGCCCGAAUCCGCCGCCCGUUACGGCCGAGGCCACGGGGACGUCUUCGCGGGACAAAAGGUAAACAUUGUGCGUUAAGGGCGCUGACACAAACACGUCCGACAUCACAGCCACCCGGUUGCCAUGCGUGCUUUUCUCUUCCUGCAGUUCUGUGUCGGGGAAAGGGUCACGUGACGACCAAUGGGACGCUUUCUUCAGUGAAUUCCCCGUAA
rnacentral:lncRNA from 1 species